GGGCAUUUCAAUGCACGUCUGCUCUGCGUGCGUGCCUGUGUGUUCAAAGCCCAGCAAACCCACAACCCUGAUGUGCCUCUCAGCUGAUGCCAAGGGCUCCCUGCAGCCCGCGCUCCUCCCUGCGCCCGCGGACGCCCAGCGCAGGGCUCUGCCAGCCGGCAGCCCCGGCAGGGACGGAGCCAGCAUCCCAAAACGGUCGCCUCUGCUCCCGCGGCUCGCCGGCGCGGGUCACGGAGGCGCGGUGGUCGUUAGCCAGACCUCGGGGAGCGGAGCCGGUGCUCGCCCAGCCCGGCCGGGGAUUCAGCGCUCCCCUAAGCCUGUUAGGGACACACUCUCAUGUCCUGAAAUGUGCAAGCAGAUAAUUGUUGGCGCUCCAGCUUUGUGUGAGGAGGCCAGGGUGUAAAUGGCUUUUAAUGACUGCAGCUGCUGGCUGCAAACUGUCAAUGGGAUCGGCUAAUGCCGAGCCCGGACCAGCCGGGCGCCGAGCCGCAGCCGGGCGGGCGCAGCGGCGGCAGCGCGCAGCGGCGCGGAGCGGGCGCGGAGGGGCGCGCGGGGCAGCGCGGAGCCGCGCGCGCAGCGGGAUGCGGGGCCGGGCGCGGCCGGCGGCAGCGGGAGCGCGGCGGCGGCCGGGGCCGGACGGAGGCUGCCCUCUCGGCUGGGAAAAUCCUUUCCGGAUCCUUCACGAUUUCCCGAGAUACAUGGACGCGUAUUUGAUGGGUGUAUGAGAUGUGGCCCAUGCGGCUCCUGUAAUGCAGCCCUGUCGAUGCCAUGUGUGCUGUACCGGUCGUGCUAAGGAACAAGUGGGCAAGAGAAAAAGAGUGCGGCUUGCCUCCGUGGCGAGAUGCCGGCUUGGGAAGCAGCAAACUUUCCCGAGGAGGCGAUGGAGGCUCAGCCGCCGGGCUGGGCUGCUUCCCCGCAUCCCUCUGGAUCUGCUGGCAGCUCCCGUCAGCCGAAAGUUACCUGCCCUGUAGCAGCAGUAGCAGCAGCCGUGCAGUCGCUUGCUCCUGAAUUAAACACAACUCCUAAUGAUGUAGCAUUAUCAACAAGGGACACUUGAUUGACUGAUCUAGGUGCAUCAGCCGGCGGGCAGGGAGCCCGCACGCCGCUCCGGGGACAGGGUUUGCCUCCUGAACGACACUCCCGCUUCCGAAGAACAGUAGCUCCGACCUCCAAACUAACUGAGACUGCUGCUCCAAAGUAGCUGCGAACAGCACUCCCGUGUCUUAACAGGGUCACAUAGGAGACUGGAGCCUUUUAAUUUCCAGGCACAAGGAAUUACUCCCUCGGAGACCCGGUUUGUUUGGGGAUUUUGGGUGUGUGUGUUUUGGUGUGUUCCCCCCCCCUCCCCCCCGACAGAAAGGGAAGCUGGGUACGUCUCCCUUAAGCACACAGAAGGAUAAAGGUGUUGAAAAAAGCCAAGCCGGGGCACAUCUGGCUGUGGGAGCCGGCCCCGUGCUGCGGGCCGCUGUUGUCCCCGGCGGGGGCUGCGGGGGCUGCCGCCGGCUCGGCCCGGCCCGCGCCCUCGCCCUGUGCGGCAUCCAGCGGGCGCGUCGCCUGGGGUGACCUUCAGGGAGCACGUUUCAACUGCCAAACAUCGAGAAAAGUGCUUCUCUCGCUCGCAGGCGCCAUAUUAAUGCCGGGAGCUGGGGCUGGGGCGGGGGGAGGGCGGUUUCGUAGUUGCUUUAGGUUUACGCCGUUGUUAAUUCAGACUGGACGAGCUCUCCACGGCUCUGUAAAAAGAAAAAGUACUUCGGCAUUCUCCCCCCGCCCCCCCCGUUUCCACUCGCCCCGAGGGGUUGAGCUUUGUAAUACUGAUCCUUGCUCUGGGACGCUAUGGAGCAUCCUCCCUCUCCCCGCCCGGUGGGGAAGGGGGUGGUGGGGGCGACCCUCGGGAGCGCGGGGUGCCAUGGGGUCCCGGCCCAGGGCCCGGACACUCACCUUGCGGGGGGCCCCAGGCAGUGCCUGAGACCCCCCGGGUCUCCCCCAUCCUACUGCGCACCGGGGCGGGGUGGGAAGGCUCCCCAAGCUCCCCUUCCUCCGCGUACCCCUCAUUUGCGCUGGGAAGGCUGUGAGCAGCAAAAUAAGAGAACACCCCCCAUCUCCCAUCUCCCCCCAUGGAAAGUGAUUCCUUAAGCUGUGGGUCUGCACUAUGCUGAGCUCUCCGCGCCCCCAACUCGCGCUGGGACUUGCUGCUUAGUCAACCGCGCUGCUUCAUCUUUUCCCAUUAUUCGUUUUUUUCUGUUAGUUUGUGGUUUGUUUGUUUGUUUUUUUAAUGCGAAUAAAAUCCCAGCUUUUGCAGAUGGGCAGAAGUGGACGAAGCAACACCGCGAUCGCGGCGGGGACAAGGAGAAGUCGGACAGAGCCGCUCCUCCCCGGGGCCGCAGGGCCGGGGGCGUCCUAAAGGUUCAAGUCCCCCUCAGGAUUUCGGAACAAAGGCAGCCCAGCCCAGCUCCGCCACGCACAAAGCUCCAUUGUAAUCUUGGGCUCACACACCACCCCCCACCACCCCAUCCCCCC